AUUGAACGCUGGCGGAAUGCUUUACACAUGCAAGUCGAGCGGCAGCACGGACUUCGGUCUGGUGGCGAGUGGCGAACGGGUGAGUAAUGUAUCGGAACGUGCCCAGUCGUGGGGGAUAACGUAGUGAAAAUUACGCUAAUACCGCAUACGAUCUAUGGAUGAAAGCGGGGGAUCGCAAGACCUCGCGCGAUUGGAGCGGCCGAUAUCAGAUUAGGUAGUUGGUGGGGUAAAGGCCCACCAAGCCCACGAUCUGUAGCUGGUCUGAGAGGACGACCAGCCACACUGGAACUGAGACACGGUCCAGACUCCUACGGGAGGCAGCAGUGGGGAAUUUUGGACAAUGGGCGAAAGCCUGAUCCAGCCAUUCCGCGUGCAGGAUGUAGGCCCUCGGGUUGUAAACUGCUUUUGUACAGAACGAAAAGGUUUCUACUAAUACUAGGAGCUCAUGACGGUACUGUAAGAAUAAGCACCGGCUAACUACGUGCCAGCCGCCGCGGUAA
rnacentral:rRNA from 1 species